GCUAAUGGGACCCCAUUAUUAGAGAUCUCAAUAAAACAAGAUGUCAGACUUGUGCUACAGUGGCAUAAAUGAAGCAAACAUUCGUAGACUGCAGCCACCUUCAUUACCUACUUGAUUUGUAAGUUUAAAAUUAAAAAGCAUGACAAUAUCCUUGUGUUCUCUCUAACACAACUGUGUUUCAGUGAUGCUGUGCAUGCAUUUUUUCUGAAGAGCAGAAAUGCUGUGCUGGGAUAGACCCUGUGUGCUCUGCAAGUUUUGCAGCUGUCUUACAAAUGGUUCCGUGAUCUCCUGGAGAUAACAUGAAAGACUCCCCAAAUGUGUGUGACAACUUUGUUUCUAACAUCUGCUCUACUUGGAACAGGUAUUGCUUUUUUUCUUUAAAUAAAAGCCCUUUAAUUCUG